UUCACGGCCAACACUUUCUCUUUUUUACGAAGACCACGUGUCUUCAGUACAAAUUUGUGGCCGAACGUUCUCUUUGUCGGCUUGCAAUCAGCAAAAUACUGCAAGCCUAAGUGUAGGCAGAGACGCUUGCCUAUUAGAAGCGAUUUAAG
ensembl:ncRNA T21C12.10 ncRNA